rnacentral:rRNA from 1 species
UUUCAAAUCCUACGACUCAAUCGUAGAAAGGGAGUGGAUACUGCAAUUCUGGAAGUAUCUGGGGGUUAGUGGAAUUUCCGGUGGAGCGGUGAAAUGCGUUGAUAUCGGAAGGAACGCCGAAAGCGAAAGCAGCUAACUAUAGAAUACUUGACGAUGAGGGACGACAGUUUGGGGAGCAAACAGGAUUAGAUACCCUGGUAGUCCAAACCGUAAAUUAUGCUUGCUAGAUGUUUUUAUCAAUUUAUUGGUAGGAGUGUCGUAAUCUAACGAGUUAAGCAAGCCGCCUGGGUAGUAUAUUCGCAAGAAUGAAACUCAAAGGGAUAGGCGGGGGAACACACAAGCAGUGGAUUAUCUAGAUUAAUUGGAUACUAAGCCAAGAAUCUUACCUAGGAUUGACAUGUAUUGUGUCUGCGGUGAAAGUCGCAUAUCCGUAGCAAUACGGAGCUUUACACAGGUGGUGCAUGGUCGUCGUCAGCUCGUGCCGCAAGGUGUCUAGUUAAGUCUGGAAACGAGCGCAACCCUCGUGUUUAGUUAGUAUGUCUAAACAGACUGCUCGGGUAACCGAGAGGAAGGAGAGGAUGACGUCAGAUCCUCAUGCCCCUUACACCUAGGGCCUCAUAGAUAAUACAAUGGGUAGGUACAGCGAGAAGCGAUACCGUGAGGUGGAGCAAAUCUUUAAAACUACCCCUAGUUCGGAUUGUAGUCUGGAACUCGACUACAUGAAGUUGGAAUUGCUAGUAAUGGCAGAUCAGCCAUGCUGCCGUGAAUACGUCCCUGUUCCUUGCACUCACCGCCCGUCAAACCAUGGGAGCUGAGGCUCUUUGAAGACUCAUUAUAUGGGUUAAGGAGGGAAUCAGUGACUGGGGUUAAGUCGUAACAAGGCAUCCCUACCGGAAGGUGGGGAUA